rnacentral:rRNA from 1 species
GAUGAACGCUAGCUACAGGCUUAACACAUGCAAGUCGAGGGACCGGCGCACGGGUGAGUAACACGUAUCCAACCUGCCCUUUACUCGGGGAUAGCCUUUCGAAAGAAAGAUUAAUACCCGAUAUCAAGGAUGGGGAUGCGUUCCAUUAGGUUGUGGGUGAGGUAACGGCCCACCAAGCCUGCGAUGGAUAGGGGUUCUGAGAGGAAGGUCCCCCACAUUGGAACUGGGACACGGUCCAAAAUCCUACGGGAGGCAGGAGUGAGGAAGAUUGGUAAAGGGGCGUUAGCCUGAAACAGCCAAGUAGCGUGAAGGAUGAAGGCUUAUGGGUCGUAAACUUCUUUUAUAAAAGAAUAUGUAUUAUAUGAAUAAGGAUCGGCUAACUCCGUGCCAGCAGCCGCGGUAAUUC